GAUGAACGCUGGCGGCGUGCCUAAUACAUGCAAGUCGAGCGAACGGACGAGAAGCUUGCUUCUCUGAUGUUAGCGGCGGACGGGUGAGUAACACGUGGAUAACCCACCUAUAAGACUGGGAUAACUUCGAGAAACCGUAGCUAAUACCGGAUAAUAUUCUGAACCGCAUGGUUCAAAAGUGAAAGACGGUCUUGCUGUCACUUAUAGAUGGAUCCGCGCUGCAUUAGCUAGUUGGUAAGGUAACGGCUUACCAAGGCAACGAUGCAUAGCCGACCUGAGAGGGUGGUCGGCCGCACUGGAGCGGAGACACGGUCCAGACUCCUACGAGAGGGAGCAGUAGGGAAUCGUCCGCAAUGGGCGAAAGCCUGACGGAGCAGCGCCGCGUGAGUGAUAAAGGUCUUCGGAUCGUAAAACUCUGUUAUUAGGGAAAAACAUAUGUGUAAGUAACUGUGGACAUCGUGACGGUACCUAGUCAAAAAGCCACGGCUAACUACGUG
rnacentral:rRNA from 1 species